UAAUUGGUGGCACCUGCUUGGGCCGCAGGUACAACUGGCCACGUAUCUUUUUCAUCCCACGUGUCUCACAUAUUUGUAAACCUCUACACCAAAUCACUAUUCAACCUUUGGAUUCUUGAAACCUGCUCACACUUUUCAGAAUAAAAAAAGAUGGAGAGGGAGCUGGAGGAAAAAGAGAGAUCGGAGAAGAUAAGGAAGACAGACGACAUCCGGGGGGAGAGAGAGAUCGGAGAAGAGAUGGAAGAGAGACGCCAUUUUUUAUAGAAAGAGAAAGAGAGAGCAGCGAUGGAAAGACAGAGACAAGUUAGAAAGAGAAGAAACAGGCAUGGCGGUGAAGUUGGAACAUGCGGUUGGGGGUUCUGGGGUUAGGGGUAGCUGAACACAACAGUGACGGUUGGGGGUUCUAGGGUUCUGGUGAGGUACCAAUGACUAAUCGGUUGACGGUUGGGUUCUAGGGAUCUGACGGGUUUAUCGGUGACUAAUCGGUCGACAGUUGGGGGUUCUAGGGUUCCGGUGGGGGUACCGGUGACUCAAAUUGGUUGAUUCUAGAGACGGAAUGGGAGACUUGAAGGUGAUCUUGAACAACCGCAACGUCAGAGACUUGAUUCGGGUUCCGGCAACAAUUCCGGGACAUAUUACCAUGGCAGUUGCCCAGGAAUUUUCAACCAAUGAAUUUUCAACAGAAGUACUAUUGAGAGAAGUAAAACUCACGCUUAUGAUGAAUGUAAUCAGCUAACAACAUUCAAAGUGUGCAUAUACAUGUAAGUUCCUUUCAAUCAGCAACAUUUGAUAUAACAAUUUGGUUUUUAUUAUUGGCAUUCAUGAUAUAACACAGGAUUUGAAAGCACGUUGGAUUUCAUAUUCAAAGUUGCUUUUGCAGCCCAAUGCAAAAGGGACAAGUUGAUUUCUCGAUAUGUAACUGCUUUUUCCUCAUAAAAAUUAUGGCUGGAGAGGAUCAACAUGUACUACGAUGAGGCGAGCGGUGGAAGGUUUGUUUUACGCGCUGUGCUUAUGGAUCUGGAGCCUUGGACGAUGGACAGUAUCAUGUCUUAUGCGUAUGAUAAGAUCUUCAAGCCUGAUAACUUUAUGUUUUGUCAGUCUGGUGCUGGAAACAAUUGGGCGAAAUGGCACUAUACUGAGGGCGCUAAGUUGAUUGAUUCGGUUUUGGAUUUUGUUAGGAAGGAGGCUGAGAACUGUGAUUGCUUACAAGGUAUUUUUUUGGUUGUAGUGUCUCUGGUACUUUUUUUAUGUACAUCAGUUUUAGAUUUC